rnacentral:snoRNA from 1 species
AACGCAAAUUUCACAGACAAGCACAACUAAUAAAGCAUUCUCUUGAGGUUGAACCCAAUUUUUCGUGAAUUCGGCGUUCUUGGCCCAUGACCCUGAGAAUAUUGUUGUACUAUUUAUUCUUUUUUGAAUAAUGGGAUUUUCUGGCCUUGUACUGGAGAUUAAACUAUCUUAUUGAUCUUGGGUGCAGUACUCCUUCCGAGAAUUUUUAAUUCGCUAAGAGAUUACCUUCGUGUACUCGUAUGAGGAGUAGUGCAAUGAUCGAUAAGACAUUU